CGGACGGGUGAGUAAUGUCUGGGAAACUGCCCGAUGGAGGGGGAUAACUACUGGAAACGGUAGCUAAUACCGCAUAACGUCGCAAGACCAAGAGGGGACCUUCGGGCCUCUUGCCAUCGGAUGUGCCCAGAUGGGAUUAGCUUGUAGGUAAGGUAACGGCUUACCUAGGCGACGAUCCCUAGCUGGUCUGAGAGGAUGAUCAGCCACACUGGGACUGAGACACGGCCCAG
rnacentral:rRNA from 1 species